UGCAGUAUACUACUCAAUUAUGUCAUGACAUCAGCCAAGACAUCAGAGUACAGCUAGAUAUUCUAACAUACAAUGCAGUCAAACAAACAUCUCCACAGCAUGUCAUGACAUUAGUCAAGACAUUAGAAUCCAACUAGUGUUUUACCAUACAAUGCAGCCAAUUAAACAUCUACAAAACCUGAGGAAAUUGUUUGUCAGACUUCGAAAGUUUAAGUUGCGUCUGAAUCCUGCUAAGUGCACUUUUGGGGUCCGAUCCGGUAA
rnacentral:lncRNA from 1 species